UACGAGGGGGGCAAAUGUUGUUCGGAAUCACUGGGCGUAAAGGGAGCGUAGGCGGAUUCUUAAGUUAGGUGUUUAAUCCCGGGGCCCAACCCCGGACCGGCACUUAAAACUGGGAAUCUUGAAUAGUGGAGAGGUCAGUGGAAUUGGGGGUGUAGCGGUGGAAUGCGUAGAGAUCCCCAAGAACACCAGUUGCGAAGGCGGCUGACUGGACACAUAUUGACGCUGAGGCUCGAAAGCAUGGGGAGCAAACAGG
rnacentral:rRNA from 1 species